UGGGGAAUAUUGGACAAUGGGCGAAAGCCUGAUCCAGCAAUGCCGCGUGAGUGAUGAAGGCCUUAGGGUUGUAAAGCUCUUUUACCCGGGAUGAUAAUGACAGUACCGGAAGAAUAAGCCCCGGCUAACUUCGUGCCAGCAGCCGCGGUAAUACGAAGGGGGCUAGCGUUGCUCGGAAUCACUGGGCGUAAAGGGCGCGUAGGCGGACGUUUAAGUCAGGGGUGAAAUCCCGGGGCUCAACCUCGGAAUUGCCUUUGAUACUGGAUGUCUCGAGACCGGAAGAGGUAAGUGGAACUGCGAGUGUAGAGGUGAAAUUCGUAGAUAUUCGCAAGAACACCAGUGGCGAAGGCGGCUUACUGGUCCGGUUCUGACGCUGAGGCGCGAAAGCGUGGGGAGCAAA
rnacentral:rRNA from 1 species